AACCCCAUCAACCUUAUUUUCCUUCUUUUACCGCCACUAGUAGUAGCCAUUGCUGCCAUUUUUCUCUCAUUCAUUUCCUCUCUCAUUUCUCCAUCUUCUGCCAAAAUUUUCAUUACCCACCUAAAUCCAUUUCCACCAUCGAUCUCUCAAUUUUCAAAAUAAGGUUUCAUGGGUUUUUGUAUGAGAAAAUGAAGAUUGAAGGAGAAAGGUUUAAUAAGAUAAAGAGAAAAAAAGCGAGCAACAAGUUGAAGAUGAAAGGCAAAAAAGUGACAAAAGAGUGAAGGAAGAAUGAAGAAACCCAUCCAAGAAUUAAAUAGCAAGUACUUCAAAAAUUUUACUUUACCUAAUUAAAAAUCUAAGUGAAAAUUUCUUUAUUUAGUUUAGUAACAUUUAUAGGAUUUAUUGAUAUAAGAAAAUGUUUAUGUGUAUUAUGAAAUUUUUUUGAAUGUGAAGAUGAAUUAUUAUAAUAAAUUAAAUAGCUUUUGUAA